rnacentral:rRNA from 1 species
UUAAAAACAACUCCUGCUCAAUGCUUAAAAUCGAUAGCCGCAGAUAACUCUGUGCUAAGGUAGCAUAAUCACUCGCCCCCUAAUUUGGGGAUAGCACAAACGGAAUAACGAAUUUUAGACUUUUUUAUCUGUACAUAAUAAAAUUUCACCUAAAGUAAAAAUGCUUUUCUAAAAAGAAAGACGACAAGACCCUGUGAACUUCAAUCUAUUUUAGCUGGGGAGGCUUUUUAAAAAAAUCUUAUUCUCAAUCUACAAACUUCUUAACAAAACCAUAGUUACCACAGGGAUAACAGCAUAAUUUUAUUCUUAAGCUCUUAUUUACAAUAAAGAUUAUGACCUCGAUGUUGAAUUAAACCAUCUAUUACAGUUCGCAAAAGAACAAUAAGAAAGUCUGUUCGACU